rnacentral:piRNA from 1 species
UUACCUUUCUGAUGAACCGCUUAGCCUUCCU